rnacentral:tRNA from 1 species
GUGACUUUAGUUUAUUUAUAGAAUACUGGUUUGUCUAAUCAGGGGGGGCGUUAGGCCAAGUUACU